UAAAACUAUGGACAACAAAGUACAGGGCAU
rnacentral:piRNA from 1 species